UGGCUCAGUGAGGCGUCCGGACUGGCCCAGGGAGGUGGGCAACUACCACCCAGGGCCGGAAAGCUCUCCAAACUCGGUCAUUUAGAGGAAGUAAAAGUCGUAACAAGGUCUCCGUUGGUGAACCAGCGGAGGGAUCAUUACCGAGUUAUCCAACUCCCAACCCCUGUGAAUCAUACCUUUAAUUGUUGCUUCGGCGGGACUUCGCGCCCGCCGGGGACCCGAACCUUCUGAAUUUUUUAAUAAGUAUCUUCUGAGUGGUUAAAAAAAUGAAUCAAAACUUUCAACAACGGAUCUCUUGGUUCUGGCAUCGAUGAAGAACGCAGCGAAAUGCGAUAAGUAAUGUGAAUUGCAGAAUUCAGUGAAUCAUCGAAUCUUUGAACGCACAUUGCGCCCGUCAGUAUUCUGGCGGGCAUGCCUGUUCGAGCGUCAUUACGCCCCUCAAGUCCCCUGUGGACUUGGUGUUGGGGAUCGGCGAGGCUGGUUUUCCAGCACAGCCGUCCCUUAAAUUAAUUGGCGGUCUCGCCGUGGCCCUCCUCUGCGCAGUAGUAAAACACUCGCAACAGGAGCCCGGCGCGGUCCACUGCCGUAAAACCCCCCAACUUUUUAUAGUUGACCUCGAAUCAGGUAGGACUACCCGCUGAACUUAAGCAUAUCAAUAAGCGGAGGAAAAGAAACCAACAGG
rnacentral:rRNA from 1 species